UGUGGAAGCUUUGUUCUUUUGCUCUUUGCAAUAAAUCUUGCUACUGCUCACUCUUUGGGUCCACGCUGCUUUUAUGAGCUGUAACACUCACCGCGAAGAUCUGCAGCUUCACUCCUGAGCCCAGCAAGACCACGAGCCCACCGGGAGGAAUGAACAACUCCAGACACGCUACCUUAAGAGCUGUAACACUCACCGCGAAGGUCUGCAGCUUCACUCCUACCAGCAACCACCCCCGAAAACCCAACCCACCUAAGCUAACACUCACCGCGAAGGUCUGCAGCUUCACUCCUGAGCCAGCGAGACCACGAACCCACCAGAAGGAAGAAACUCUGAACACAUCUGAACAUCAGAAGGGACAGACUCCAGACACACCACCUUAAGAGCUGUAACACUCACCGCGAGGGUCCACGGCUUCAUUCUUGAAGUCAGUGAGACCAAGAACCCACCAAUUCCGGACACAGUGCUGAGAAUCAUGCCUUGAAACCUAGCAGCUCUGUUAAAAACUGAGCAAGGUGUACUUCGGGGUUGUGUUGAGAAGGUUGGUGUUCAGCUAAAUCAGGAGGGAAGGCCAAGGAAAAUCAGGCUUGGCACCUGUCAACAGACAAUGUGAUGGUCAUGAAGUCUCCGUCAGAGAGGAAAGAGGGAGUUAAUCUAUAAUGAAGAUCAACAGUGAAGAGGAAAGGGGUCUUCCCUGACCCUUCAGUCAUAUACGACAUUUUACACAACAAUAAUGGACCUGUGUAAGGAGGUAUGUGUGGGAGAAGAUUCCAGAAGGUCUUGAGACACUCCAGAUGAAGGUUGGUAUGGGGCUGUGCUGCUGGAGCACCAGAGAGUGAAGAGGUUAUCUCCCUCUGUGCCAGGCCAGAGUGCAGUGGUGCAAUCACGGCUCACUAUAGUCUCAACCUCCUGGGCUCAAGAGAUCCUCCCACUUCAGCCUCCCAAGCAGCUAGGACUACAGGCACGUGUCAUCAUAUCUGGC
rnacentral:lncRNA from 1 species